UUUUUAUUUUCCAAGUAACGAAGGGAUCGGAUUUAAUGUGGUACUGCAUAAACCAAAAGCCCAGUCGCUAAUAAUAAAAUUUCAGGGACUAAAGGCGCUAAUCGAUAUAAGCUCUAAAACUUUCCCUCUCUCUCUCUAGCUCCAAAACCCUAAAAUCCCAAAUUGCUUAGAAUGUGAUCGUCGGUCUGCGGCUAAACAACCAGAUUCUCUUCUUGCUCAUUUAAUUUGUCUGAUUUAUUCUCGCUCAAACCAGAUUCCCUUCUUGCUCAAAUUUCUUUUUUGGAUGAAAAAAAGGAAUCUUCCUUCACUUCUUUCUUUCUAGCCCAAGGUUCUGCGAUUGGGUUUCUUUGUUUGCUUGGAAUAUUGAUUGUCGUUGUGUGAGGGCUUAAAGUGGGAGUAAUGGGUUGGACGACAACGAUUGAGGACAUAUUACAGGGUUUAUUGUGGGGUUUUUCUGUUGGUUUUCAUUGAAAAGUCUUCUGGAGACUUGGCUGAAGGAAUAAGGAAAUAUUGUGGGUCUAAUUUACUGUAAGGUUUUGCUUGUUGCAACUGAUUUAUCUUCUUCAAGAUAAAUUUGAGAGUGAUGACAAGGAUAUUAAUCGCGAUCAUAUCUUGGGAUGGAUGAAAGAAUUUUGGAACAAAAGCAGAGGAAAAUUGAUGCAAAGUAUGUGAAGGGUAAGCCAAUCCAAGACGCUCUUAAGAAUUUGCCGAAGGGGGUAGACAAGAAACAAUGAGAGUGGUUGGUAAAGAAUAUUUUUCCACCGAAAGUUUUCAGGUUUUGAAUACUGGAGUUUACAAGAAGCAAGUUUUUGAGGACAAACUCUAUAUUAUAGGCUAGGAAUGUUAGCUUCAUACAUUUUCUGCUAAGGGAACAUGUCCACAAUAUUGUUACUAUAGCUUAUAUUGUGGUUGUAAGAUGCCAACUGAUGCAAAUCUUCUCUUUUUUUUUUUUUUUUUUUUUUUCUGUUUUUAAUUAAUUAUAUGUGUAUGAAAGCAGGAUCAUCAUUAUAUUAUCCUUUUGUGAUCUAGUUUUUAGUUGCAAAUUGAAUAUGAUUUGCAGAAAUAAUGUUGGACAGAGACCCAGGUCAUAAGUAUCUUUAGGGACCAGUAUUUUAGUCCCUAAAGUACUUUUAGGGACUACACGGCAGCUGGUCGCUAAGCUUUAAGGACCAGUUACUAAGACUUAACUUCAUCUAUUAGGGACUGAAAAUAAGGUCUCUAAAAGUGUUUUAAGGACCAGAUUGUCGCUGGUCGCUAUUACUCUUUAAGGAUCAGCUUAUUUUUCUCGUCGUUGAUGACUUUUAGCGGCGGAGAGCGACGGGUGGCGACCAGCUUUUUCUGGUCGUUCAUGAUCUUUAGGGACCAGAAACCCACUUUUAGGGACCAUGUUUCCCUUCGCUAUAGGCCAUUUUUCUAGUAGUGGACUCAGCCGCAAGCUCAAGGAUCUUUCAAAGGAGUUUGAUGAGUUUCUUGAGAGGAUUAUUGAUAAACAUGUUCAUUCUCAUACGAGAAGCAAACUAAGGACUUUUGGACACCAUGAUGGAAAUUAUGCAAUCAGGAGAAGCAAAAUUUCAAUUUGAUCAUCGACAUAUAAUAGCUAGCCACACAUGUUCAUGGCAUACAAAUCUCUAAUUAUUAAUAACAUAACUACAAUAUGAGAUAAAAUAAAGAAAAACUCAAUGAAUUUCCACGACACGCAUCCUCUAGCCGUCUCUCGAUCCUUCUCCAGUGAACUCCCCCAUCAAAAACGUGUUUAAGUCACAUUUAUACCGAGUAGGGAAGCCCUUAGAAAAAAACACCCUUAACAAACCAAGUAAAUUCGAAUACCCAAAAUUG